rnacentral:rRNA from 1 species
GACAGAGGCCCCAAGCGUUAGGCGGAAUCACUGGGCUUAAAGCGUGUGUAGGCGGACGCCUAAGUGUCUUGUGAAAUCCCACGGCUCACCCGUGGAACUGCUGGGCAUACUGGGCGUCUUGGGCCAACUAGGGGCAGCCGGAACAAGCGGUGGAGCGGUGAAAUGCGUUGAGAUCGGAAGGAACGCCCGUGGCGAAAGCGAGGUCCUGGACGUUUUCUGACGCUGAGACGCGAAAGCCAGGGGAGCGAACGGG